UUUAAGAAACUAAUGCUACUUUAAACAGCAGGAAAGAAGUAAAUGUUCCUACAAGAAGGAAGCUAAAGUUUAAGUGUUUCUUACAACCAUCACCUCUAGGAUGUAUCUUUAAGAACUAUAAAAGUCAGCAAAACAUAUUCAGCCUUGACACUGCAUAAAAUCAAAGACAUGGUAUCAGCUACAUCAUGUAAACAGUUGGGAUGUUGUCACUCCCAUUCUUACAAAUUGAAAAACGAACACUUUCUCCUUGACCCAUAUGAAAAUUGAGGUUGCAGAGCAAACUGACACCCUGAAAUUUGGAGAGACAGGCAAAUCUUUGAAGUCACUGUCAAGAUCUGCCUACCAGGAGUAGAAGCUGCUGAAGUCAUGAACUGUACAAAAUGGAUGGAGAACCAGAUUUGGCCUGAAAGCCCACAGGUUGCUGACUCCUGGUUAUUUGAAGAUAAGCUUCCCCCAGACAGAAUUAACCAAGAAAGAGGAAGUUAUAAAUGCAAGAAUAUAGAGGAUCCAAUAUAGAAAAGAGGCAAGUUGAAUCCUCAGGAUGAUGGUGACGACAGAUCCUACGAAGAUAGGAUCCACCACCCACUGAGGCUGGAACAGGAGGACAGAGGGCUCUGGGGAGAUUUGAGCCAGAAGACAAAUUGAACCCAACCAAAAUAAAACAAAACAAAAAUGA